AUGGGCGUCAUUACCCCAGUACGUGUAUGAAGACACGGAUGUUGUGACUCCUCUUUGUGUACAACCAGAGACAUGCAAAAUUGUGCUCUAUGUGUGUACUAGGAAUUGGAAUGCACUGUGCUGUCAUGUAUAACAAAUUAGAAUGAAUAAAGAAAAAUUAAAAAAUCUUGUAUAUAGUGUAGAGUGGGGCCUUAUUUUUUUAAUCCAAUUUGACAACUUCUGCCUUUUAAUUAUGAUGUGUGGGCUCUGGACAUCUAAAGUGGUCAUGGACAUGGCUGAGUCGUGGGUCAUCAGCUGUACACGUUCCCUGUCGUGGUUUCUGUUCAGUCACUGUCUUCAUCUUUAACUUAAUGACAUGCCUCCAAAUAAUGAUCGGCUGGGCUGGGCUGGGGCCCAGUGGCAGAGCGCUGGCCCGGCACGUGUGAGGCUCUGGGUUCGAUCCUCACCACCGCAUAAAAAUCAAUACACAAGAUAACGGCAUUCUGUCUAUCUACAGCUAGAAAAGCCUGUUUUUAAGUGAUGAUGGGCUGCUUCCCCUCCAGCUUGGAGACCUUUACUCAUGUGCUGUCUGCUUUCCGUCCUGCCUGCUGUUGUCCCGAGUACCACGUCCUCCUGUGUCAUAGCCUUCUAGCACAUUACGUCUUCCCCUGGGAGGUCAGUUAUGUUUUAAAUUUUUAAAAAUCAAUUUAAAUGCCUCUCCCCUGCCUCUCCCCUGCCUCUCUCCCCUGCCUCUCCCCUGCCUCUCCCCCUGCCUCUCUCCCCUGCCUCUCCCCUGUCUCUCCCUGUGCUCCAGCCCAGACUCUCUCCAGGUUGGGAGCUGGGCUGCGGCAGGGCAGGAGGGCUAAAUGCUGAGGGCAGGCUCUGGGCCCCGGAGCCUCACGCCUGCUGGCCAGGCUGCACAUGCUGCUGGGCUGGUGACCACCUCCCCCUCAGGAUCCCGCAGCCUCAGCUCCUCUCUGACGCUGCCUUGUGCCUUCACAGGGGGAUCAGUGGCCUUCGAGACCGCACCUGUUUCCUGAGCAAGCAGGCAGGAAACAGACGUUGAAGGAGUACCGCUAAGAGGUGUGCCUUCACCUGCUCCCUGGGAAUCCAUCUUGUCACCAGUGCACACCUGAGGCAGGUAAUACCAUCUACUCUAUCCUCUCCACCCUGGGGCAGGUACUGCCACCCACUCCAGCCUCUGCACACACCUGAGGCAGGUACUGCAUUCCCUCCAUCCUCUCCACCCAGAGGCAGGUACCACCAUCCUCUGCACACACCUGAAGCAGGUAUUUCCACACCUGUCCCGAGGCCAGGAUGCCCCCCGCAGCACCCACCAGGCCUCAGAGUUACUAAGUGCAGCUGUUCCCGCGGCUCUUCCCCCAGGGAAACUUGCCCACCCGCUUCCUACAAUCAGGUCAGACCUCCAGACGCAGGGAGGAGGCCCUGGCAAUGCCCUGGACCCUGCUUCCUGGGGGCACCUGCUGCCUUCCAUCGCCAGAGGUCUCAGGGGGACCCUCAGGUCUACCUUCAGUGUCCAGCUGAUCUUACAGGCGAGGACCUUUAAGGAAGACUUUAGGUGAAAGUUCUCCAGACAUUUCUGGAAAAAUACAAAGUGACAAAUCUGGCCCAGGAGGAAAUAGAAAACUCAAGAUGUGAAAAGCGGGAGAGGAAGACCUCACCCUUCUGCAGAGAGCCCCGAGGCCACACAGUCUGCCGAGGAGCAGGCGAAGGCCCAGAUGCUGCCGACCUCGUUUCACCUUGAAGGACGGGGGUCACUCCCGUUCAAGGUCAGGUAAGGGCUAGAAAAGAAGAGAGGAAAAAGCGUGUAGGCCCACUUUCCUUAUGCCAUCGUAGAAGAUCUUGAACACUGUGUGAAUGAUUCCUAGCUGACGGGCCCCAACAGUGUUGGGGUUUGUGGUUGUUGUGGUACGGGGUGCUCUGCCACAGAGCCACAGCCCAACCCUUCUUAUUUUCUAUUUUGAGGAAGGGUCUUGCUAAGUCACAGGCUGGCCUCAAAUUUGCAAUCCUUUGGCUUCAGGCUCCCAAGCCAUUGGGAUGACAGGUGCCACCACACCUGGCCAACAGUGUUUGGAACAGAGACAAGAACUGCUCAAAUUCAAAAAGACUCCACAUGGUGGCAGGAAUGCAGGGUGACCGGAAUUCUCCACCGUGUAGGUGGGCUGUUUUGGAAAAGACUUGGUGUUUUAUUAUGAAUCUAAACGUUCAAUUACCCCAUGACCCAGCGACCCCACUCCAAGAUGUUUACACGAGAGAAAUAAAAAUGCAUGUCCAGAAAAUGACAAGAAUGUUCAUAACAAUUUUAUUCAUAAUAUCUUUUUAAAAUAGAAACAGUCCACAUGUCCAUCGACGGGAGAAUGGGCUAUCAAACUGUGGUCUAGUGCAAUUGGGGUUUACAUCUGCCCCAGAUUCAUAUGUUGGAAGCUAAUGUGUGUUAGAUUAAAAGGUGGGAAGUGGUUAAGUCACGAGCUGCACCUCAUGAGGGGCCGGUGCCCUUACAGGAGAGGCCCUAGCCAGCUCCCUGCCCCUUCCACCACGAGAGGGCCGGUUGAGAAGCGCCAUCUUGGAGCAGAGGGCAGCCCUCCCCCGACACCCAGUCUGCCAGUGCCUUGGUCUUGGCUGGACUCCCCAGAUGCAGACUGUGAGCACUUGGUUUCUGUCACUCACCAGCGGCCGGCCCGAGGGGCUUUGCUACUGCAGCCUGAGCCGGUCAAGACAGUGUCCCGCUCAGCAGGGACAACGUGCACACCGCCAACCCGUUCAAAGACAGGGGUCUCAAAAUCUUUAUGUUGACGGACAGAAGCCAGACACAGAAGGACACAUGCCAUGCAAUCCGAAGUUGUGGAGUGGACAGACGAGUUCACGGUGGGGGAUAGCAGAGCUGUGCUCACCCAGGAAGGUGGGGGCUGGGAAGGGCAGGGAGGAGCUGCUGGGGCGAGUGUCCGCAUCUCCACCAGGGUGGGGCCCAUGGUGUGCACCUGGCCAAACCUCC
rnacentral:lncRNA from 1 species